CACAAUUCGGUAUUUUUUUACAUAUUUCAUUCGCUUAAAAGACCAUUUAGAUCUCUGUGUUCUCUGCUACUACAAACUGAGGAGCAACUUGACAGCUUUAUGCAGCUCGGUCAACUAGGCCGCUGGGACACUGGGGGAGAAGGACAUCGGUGCAGAGCAUGGCAAAGCCGAGUACUUGUUGGAUCUGAGGGCUUCUGAUCCACAGUUCUCCACAUGAUCAUCCAUCAGCAUCUAGUGACAUUAACACUCGGCAGCAUAAGGCUUUCUCCCCACUAUAGUUGGAGUUCAAGAGCGUAAGGAAGGUAUUGAUAUAGUAAUAUUUUUUUACUUGAUUAAUGGCCAAACAUACUGCUUCAGUAUCUUCCGGUAGUGCAUGUUGAUAUGGCACUUGUGAAAACUGAAGAUUGGGUACGGAGUCGCAAAAACUGCAAUACUCUUGGUAAUGCAGAUUUGUUUUUGCAUCUCAACCUUUGUAAAUUCAAAAGAUAAAUGGAUGAAUCUAUUGGUGUGUGUGGCAAGUAUACUACAAGGAUGAUGAUGAUGUUCCUGUUCAUGAUGAUGAAGACA